UCCGGCUUAACGCCGGCAGUCCCCCCAGAGUCCCCGACAUGACUCGCUGGCAACUGGGAGCGAGGGUUGCGCUCGUUGCGGGACUUAACCCAACAUCUCACGACACGAGCUGACGACAGCCAUGCAGCACCUGUCUUGGGACUCCGAAGAGGGGCCGUGGUUUCUCACGGCUUUCCCCAAGAUGUCAAGCCCAGGUAAGGUUCUUCGCGUUGCUUCGAAUUGAACCACAUGCUCCACCGCUUGUGCGGGCCCCCGUCAAUUCCUUUGAGUUUCAGCCUUGCGGCCGUACUCCCCAGGCGGGACACUUACUGCGUUAGCGACGGCACCGGGAGGGUCACUCCCCCAGGCACCUAGUGCCCAUCGUUUACGGCGUGGACUAC
rnacentral:misc_RNA from 1 species